AGCGGCGGUACACAAUGCUGGAAUGUUGAGCUACAGCGCAUUAUCAUCUCAUAGCUUAAAAUGCAUUCCCUGGAGAUUUUAGCUAGGCCUCUAAAUUAUUUCCAAACAACUUUGAUUUGUUUGUAUUUCUGUUUGAAUGUCCAGCUUUCUGCUGCAGAAUCGGUGGCGACUGCACACAAUGUAAGCGGUGUUGGUGUUCAAUUUUUAUAUAUGUAGAAAAGCUGUGAACUUUACAAAACGAAUGUUGCUGCAUCCAGCUCACCGCGGACCCCCCGUAGGUCCUGGAUAGCAACCACCCGGGCACACAACUGAUCCAUUGCCAUGGGCAAACCCUUGGCCCUCUCCAGACACUGGGUUCCUCAGGACCUCAGAAACGCGCCAUGUGGCCAAAA